rnacentral:rRNA from 1 species
UAUAUAAAGUUGUUGCGGUUAAAAAGCUCGUAGUUGGAUUUCUGUUGAGGACGGCCGGUCCGCACUAUGUGCGUGUAUCUGGUUCGGCCUUGGCAUCCUCUUGAGGAANGUUCCUGCGCUUGAUUGCGUGGGGCGGUAUUCAAGACUUUUACUUUGAGGAAAUUAGAGUGUUCACGGCAGGCAAGCGCCUUGAAUACAUUAGCAUGGAAUAAUAAUAUAGGAUCUUGGUUCUAUUUGUUGGUUUCUAGGGCUAAGGUAAUGAUUAAUAGGGAUAAUUGGGGGCAUUUGUAUUAACGCGUCAGAGGUGGAAUUCUUGGAUUGCGUUACGACAAACUACUGCGAAAGCAUUUGCCAAGGAUGUUUUCAUUGAUCAAGAACGAAAGUAUGGGGAUCGAAGAUGAUUAGAUACCGUCGUAGUCUAUACCAUAAACUAUGCCGACUAGGGAUUGGAGGUCGUUCUUUUUAUGACUCCUUCAGCACCUUAUGAGAAAUCAAAGCCUUUGGGUUCCGGGGGGAGUAUAGUCGCAAGGCUGAAACUUAAAGGAAUUGACGGAAGGGCACCACCAGGAGUGGAGCCUGCGGCUUAAUUUGACUCAACACGGGGAAACUCACCAGGUCCAGACAUAGUAAGGAUUGACAGAUUGAUAGCUCUUUCUUGAUUCUAUGGGUGGUGGUGCAUGGCCGUUCUU